rnacentral:lncRNA from 1 species
UCAAUUUCAAUUCCAAAGAAUUGAAACAUGUCAAGAACAUCAUUUAUCACUUUUAUUUUCUAUAAGAUUUAUGAAAAAUAAUCUCAACAUUCAUCAACAAAAGUGAUGAGUAUCUUUUUCUGUUUCUAGUGUUGUUGUUCGAGACAACAAGCACUUCGUUGUUUUUCUGAUCUUGCUUUACAACUUUUUCUUUCAAAAGAAGACAAGUUAUCAGACUUUCAAGUGCAUCUUCUUUACACUUUUUAUCAUUUUUAAACUUGUUCAAUUGUUUCAAAUACAAUUGA